rnacentral:rRNA from 1 species
AUUGAACGCUGGCGGCAGGCCUAACACAUGCAAGUCGAGCGAGCGGCGGACGGGUGAGUAAUGUCUGGGGAACUGCCUGAUGGAGGGGGAUAACUACUGGAAACGGUAGCUAAUACCGCAUACCAUCGGAUGUGCCCAGAUGGGAUUAGCUAGUGGGUGGGGUAAAGGCUCACCUAGGCGACGAUCCCUAGCUGGUCUGAGAGGAUGACCAGCCAGACUGGAACUGAGACACGGUCCAGACUCCUACGGGAGGCAGCAGUGGUGAAUAUUGCACAAUGGGCGCAAGCCUGUUGCAGCCAUGCCGCGUGUCUGAAGAAGGCCUUAGGUUUGUAAAGCACUUUCAGCGGGGAGGCGUUACCCGCAGAAGAAGCACCGGCUAACUCCGUGCCAGCCGCCGCGGUAAUAC